ACUCCUAGAGGAUCAUGUCAGAAAGACAGGUAGUACCAUAAGACACUGCAUACAACAUGUGAUUU